GGUUCAAUUCCCGUCGUUCGCCGCGGAUGUGGCCAAGUGGAUCAAGGCAGUGGAUUGUGAAUCCACCACGCGCG
rnacentral:tRNA from 1 species